CUCAGAGUCAGCAAAGCGGACGUUGCCGAGGUGCAGCAGUCCGGCCAGGACCUGAGCGGGCAGGAGAGGACACGGGUUUCCCCAGAGAUGGUGUCCUGAGCUGGAGAAAACCUGGCUGCAUGUGUUACUGCUCGAAGAGCUUCAGCUGGCCGUGGCCAAGGCGUUGCCCGAGCGCGGAUUGGCUCUGCUUUGGAAACACGGAAAAGACCCGGAAUGGGGAGAGCAGGUGGAGGCAGGUCACGAGGAUCUCGGGCGCGACGCAGCCCCAGCACCGACGUCUGCAGGAGAACUGAGCCUGAGGCGGGAGGAGAGGGGGUUGGGCCCCCAGCCAGACUCACCUCCAGCUGCUUCCUGAAGUGAAGGCGUUUCUCCAGGCUUAAGGGCAGUUGGAGGUGUGUGUUUGUUUGUUUGUUUGUUUUUAAACACCUUUCGAGGGGCACCUGGUGGCUCAGUUGGUUAAGCAUUCGACUUGAUCUCAGGUUCAUGAGUUCAAGGCCCACGUUGGGCUCCACCCUGGGUUCGGAGCCUACUUAACAAAAAAAUAAAAACCUUUUGCUGUUUGUGCUGAGUAUAGAAUAUAACCUUUGUGAGGAAGCGUAGCACAGCCUUCAUAGAAAAGAAUAUUGCAUUACUUCAGUGUCUGGAUCAUCUGGUAGGUAUAUGUUUUACA